AGAGUUUGAUCCUGGCUCAGAAUCAACGCUGGCGGCGCGCCUAACACAUGCAAGUCGAACGGGAAAGUGGGCAACCAUGAGUACAGUGGCGUACGGGUGAGUAACACGUGGGUGAUCUACCUCUUAGUGGGGAAUAACCCUGGGAAACCGGGGCUAAUACCGCAUAAGCUCGAGAGAGGAAAGCAGCAAUGCGCUGAGAGAGGAGCCCGCGGCCGAUUAGCUAGUUGGUAGGGUAAAAGCCUACCAAGGCAAAGAUCGGUAGCCGGCCUGAGAGGGCACACGGCCACACUGGCACUGAAACACGGGCCAGACUCCUACGGGAGGCAGCAGUGGGGAAUCUUGCACAAUGGGGGAAACCCUGAUGCAGCGACGCCGCGUGAGCGAUGAAGCCCUUCGGGGUGUAAAGCUCUUUCGGCAGGGAAGAUGAUGACGGUACCUGCAGAAGCAGCUGCGGCUAACUACGUGCCAGCAGCCGCGGU
rnacentral:rRNA from 1 species